rnacentral:rRNA from 1 species
CGGAAGCCUGAUCCAGCAACGCCGCGUGAGGGAUGACGGCCUUCGGUUGUAAACCUCUUUCAGCGGGACGAAGCGCAAGUGACGGUACCCGCAGAAGAAGCACCGGCCAACUACGUGCCAGCAGCCGCGGU